rnacentral:rRNA from 1 species
GGGAUGAACGCUGGCGGCGUGCUUAACACAUGCAAGUCGAACGAUGAAGCAGAGCUUGCUCUGUGGAUUAGUGGCGAACGGGUGAGUAACACGUGAGUAACCUGCCCUUGACUCUGGAAUAAGCGUUGGAAACGACGUCUAAUACCGGAUACGAGCUUCCGCCGCAUGGUGAGGAGCUGGAAAAGAAUUUCGGUCAAGGAUGGACUCGCGGCCUAUCAGGUAGUUGGUGAGGUAAUGGCUCACCAAGCCUACGACGGGUAGCCGGCCUGAGAGGGUGACCGGCCACACUGGAACUGAGACACGGUCCAGACUCCUACGGGAGGCAGCAGUGGGGAAUAUUGCACAAUGGGCGCAAGCCUGAUGCAGCAACGCCGCGUGAGGGACGACGGCCGUUCGGUUCGUAAACCUUCGUUUAGUAGGGAAGAAGGUCGUUCGGUCUGGUACGGUACCUGACGAAGAAAAGCACCGGACUAACGUACGUAGCCAGCACGGACCGAC